GCGCCCGCCCACAAUGAGAGGUUCCCUGCACUAGGGUGCUCCGGGCCCCGAGAAAGGACGUGCCAGGGCCCGCGCCUCGACACUGCAGGGACACAAAGAGGCCAAAGAAGGGGAGCGGCAAGAGGCCGUGCUGGCGGGCACCCGCCCGGAAGUUGACGCGGCGCGAUCUCAGCUGAAAGGAAGCUGAUAGGAUCAAGAAAACACAGAGAAGGCACAGAGGUGAGGAGUGUGCGGCGCCAUCUCGUUUAAUGCUCAGUCGCUCCUUUUCUUUCAUUCUUUCCUUCUUUCCUCAGUACUUACGGUUUUGGAGCCACGCUGAGAUGUAACAAAGAUUGUAAAGAAAAGGAUAAUUCCUGGCGUGGGGCGACGGUAGCCGUGUCGGGACCAUCCAAAUCAGCACGGAAAAACCUAGCGAGCGCGUAAUGAUGACGCAACACGCCGCUUAAGCCCUUUUUUCUUCCUCAGCUACGCGCAAGCGGAAAAAGGCUCGGAGCGCGCGGUUGUCAUGGUAACUUGAGCCCGCCCCUUGCCUAGGAAGCGCGCUUGUGGCCUGUGGCUCCAGACAGAAUGAACUUCCUUAAACCAAAACAUCUGUAGAGGCAAUAUAUAAGAUACUGAGAAUUAUCUGUAUAGCUACUGUAUAGCAAAGGCAAUAUGAGGCUUAAAAGAAAAAAAGUGUGGUAAACAAUGGCUGUAUUAUCUAUCAAUGCACACUUCUUAAAAUGGGGAGAGAAUGAAUGAAGUUAAGACAAUUCAUUAUCAUGACAACUGACAAAUGAAAGAGAAGAAUCGAGAUUUUAUCCUGUCUUUAUGGUAAUAAAAUGAUAGUUGAGAAAAAGUAUUUCUUUAUGAAAGUAUACCAACUGGUAAAUGAGA